rnacentral:lncRNA from 1 species
AUGAAACACAAGAAUCUCUGGAUCACCAAAAAGCUGUGGCUUUCCCAACACUGUUCAGUCCUGUGGAUGGUUCGGAGUAGAAUACAGAGUAGCCUUGUAGUCAUUACCAUCUUUUUGGAGCUUCACAGGGUCCUGCCUGACACCCUGGAGGAAGAGACACUGAACAUAAAGAGAGCAGGAAGAAUCUGGACAGGAGUGUCAGCUGUGGUGGUUAUGAAUGAGGAAAUUUAUCACAGUUUACUGCACCUCUACCUUCUGUUAGAGAGGAAGAAGAGAGGAAGAAGAGAGGAAGAAGAAAGAAAGAAAAUAAUUUAGGAAACUAACAAUUUCUGCCUCAGUCUGCUCCAACUAGACUACAUUUUCUG